AAAUGUAUAAAACAGGAUAUUAAUUAUUGACAGUUGAAAGUUUACUGAGUUGGAGAUAGGUUUUAUUUCUAAUUACAGUGGUUUAGUGAAUGGAUUAAGAUUAAUUAGGGAGAUGAAGAUUUGAGGCUGUUGAGUUUGGGAUCCAAAUGUUUGAUCUAUCUCCUAAAUUUUGAUUUAUCUCCUAUAUGUUGACAUUGGUAUUCCUGCUAAUAACAAGGGAAAGCACAGCAUUGGUUGUCUCUUCUGGCUGUUAGCAAGGAUGGUUCUUCAGAUGCGUGGUACAAUUGCUCUUGGACAAAAGUGGGAUGUGAUGGUGGAUCUGUUUUUCUACAGGGAGCCUGAGGAAGCUAAACAGCAGCAAGAGGAGGAAGCUGCUGGUCCUGAUUAUGCACUCCCUGCUCCAAAGUAUGGAAUGGCUGCCUUAGGAAGUGAGCAAUGGUCCACACAAAUAG